UGGUUUAACAGAAAACCAACCGAAUGCUGCCGGCAGAGCGAAACAUCGGGACAAAUUGCUUCCCGACCAAAGAUCGGUCGGGACAUGGGACAAACACCUAAAUAUUGGGAUGGUCCUGAUUUUAUCAAGACAUCUGGUCA